rnacentral:rRNA from 1 species
GACGAACGCUGGCGGCGUGCCUAAUACAUGCAAGUCGAACGCAGUGGCGAACGGGUGAGUAACGCGUAAUCAACCUGCCCUUCAGAGGGGGACAACAGUAGGAAACGACUGCUAAUACCGCAUACUGAAGGAGGGGAUUGCGUCUGAUUAGCUAGUUGGGGGGGUAACGGCCCACCAAGGCGAUGACCAGUAGCCGGUCUGAGAGGAUGAACGGCCAAAUUGGGACUGGGACACGGCCCAGACUCCUACGGGGGGCAGCAGUGGGGAAUCUUCCGCAAUGGGCGAAAGUCUGACGGAGGAACGCCGGGUGGGUGAUGACGGCUUUCGGGUUGUAAAGCUCUGUUAAUCGGGACGCGGUACCUGAAUAGAAAGCCACGGCUAACUACGUGCCAGCAGCCGCGGUAAUAC